rnacentral:tRNA from 1 species
GGAGGGGUCGCAUAGCGGUCCAUUGCACGGGUUUGCUAAACCCGCGAGCUUUUUGGCUCACGUGGGUUCGAAUCCCACCCCCUCCG